rnacentral:rRNA from 1 species
UACGUAGGGGGCAAGCGUUGUCCGGAAUUAUUGGGCGUAAAGAGCUCGUAGGCGGCUUGUCGCGUCGUCCGUGAAAACUUGGGGCUCAACUCCAAGCUUGCGGUCGAUACGGGCAGGCUCGAGUUCGGUAGGGGAGACUGGAAUUCCUGGUGUAGCGGUGAAAUGCGCAGAUAUCAGGAGGAACACCGGUGGCGAAGGCGGGUCUCUGGGCCGAUACUGACGCUGAGGAGCGAAAGCGUGGGGAGCGAACAGG